UACGGGGGGGGCUAGCGUUGCUCGGAAUUACUGGGCGUAAAGCGCGCGUAGGCGGGUCCUUAAGUCAGGGGUGAAAUCCCGGAGCUCAACUCCGGAACUGCCUUUGAUACUGGGGAUCUUGAGUCCGGAAGAGGUGAGUGGAACUCCGAGUGUAGAGGUGAAAUUCGUAGAUAUUCGGAAGAACACCAGUGGCGAAGGCGGCUCACUGGUCCGGUACUGACGCUGAGGUGCGAAAGCGUGGGGAGCAAACAGG
rnacentral:rRNA from 1 species